rnacentral:lncRNA from 1 species
UGCAUGCACGACACUUCCCUUUACUCCAGGAACGGCCGACAAUGCUGUAAAGUCAAGAUGUUGUUACGGCUCUCCCCAUCUCUUUUUCCAGCCAAGUCCAUUCAGACAUAAUUGUUGGAUUUGAGAGGGAAAUGGGAACUAUGAGACCCAGGAAUGUUCGUGGGUAACAGUGACAAUUCCGGCAAGGAUCAGUGGCUUCCGGUAAAGGACGGCCACCAGGAAGGAGAGAGAAGACAAGCUCUGCUGGUUUAGCGGUGGCGAGUGUGUGCACGGUCAGAUUGUCAACGGGACGGGGAGCACGUCGGGUCUGCAGAGGGACCUGGAAAUCAGGCAUCAGCGAUUCCUGCCCACCUGACAAGCAGUGUGGAGUGCUGACUCUGUGCUGGGAGGCGUGAGAUGCAGGGAAUCUGUGGAGAACAAGGGUCCCCAUCAUCACAGAGCUUACGGUCUAAUGCGGAAAAACCCAAAUUCUUGUGAGAAGUCGUGCCCGAGAAGUCCCUCCUCCCUUGUGUCAUUACGAGCAAUCAGGGCUGUCCUUGGCAAUAGAGGGGAAUUCCCCAAAGAGAAGCGAGCAUCCGAAUCCUCCUGCACCUGCCCCGCCUCAGAGCAGCCUGUCUGACCAGCCAGGUGUUCCCAUGGAGCCGUAAAGAAGAGGGAACCUGUCAUUUACCAGCUUCAACCUUCAAAUUCCUCAGACCGGACUUUGAGUUCCUGUGACUCCUCCCCUGACCUCAUAUUACUCCCCUGUAUGGACCCUCCCUUCCAGCCAAAUGAGUCUCAGA